rnacentral:rRNA from 2 species
AGUCCAACAUGUGCGCGAGUCAUGGGGUGCUUACGAAACCCAAAGGCGCAAUGAAAGUAAAGGUCUCCCUCGGAGUACCCAGGCAAGAUCCGGCGGCCUCGGCCGACGGCGCAUUGCCGGCCCGUCUCGGCGGCAUCGUCCGCGAGGCGGAGCAAGAGCGCACACGUUGGGACCCGAAAGAUGGUGAACUAUGUCUGAGUAGGGCGAAGUCAGAGGAAACUCUGAUGGAGGCCCGCAGCGAUUCUGACGUGCAAAUCGAUCGUCAAACUUGGAUAUAGGGGCGAAAGACUAAUCGAACCAUCUAGUAGCUGGUUCCCUC